GGGUAUGACCCCCCCCAAAAAAAAACCCAAAAUAUUCAGAGAAGAUUAGCAUGACAUCUGUGCAAAAAUAAUAUGCAUAUUCGUGAAGCUUUUCCAAAUUUU